GACAGAGGGUGCAAACGUUGUUCGGAAUUACUGGGCGUAAAGCGCGUGUAGGCUGUUCUGCAAGUCGGGUGUGAAAGCCCCGGGCUCAACCUGGGAAGUGCACUCGAAACUGCAGAACUCGAGUCCUGGAGAGGAAGGCGGAAUUCUCGGUGUAGAGGUGAAAUUCGUAGAUAUCGAGAGGAACACCGGUGGCGAAGGCGGCCUCUGGACCAGU
rnacentral:rRNA from 1 species